UAAAAUUGUAUUACAAAAAGAGCCAAAAGUUCUGUGUCUUUAUCAAGUAGUCAUGUUGGUUUAGAAAGUGGUCAAAUUCAAAAACAUGUGGGGUAAUUUGUUACAGUGUGUACCAAUGGUCCAAUUGGUACACAAUAAAGCCAAAAACAAUAUUUUUUUCUUCUUAAAGGUAAUAAAGUCAAUAGCAAACUAAUUUUGUCCAUUUUAAAUAAACUUUGCAAUCUCUCGCUCACUCUCCCGUGAUUUAAAACAAAAUAAAUGAGAAAGAAGAACAGAAGACGACCACAUUGUUUGUUUACUGACAUGUUUUAUUUUAUGAGAAAAAAAUGAAAUGAUAACAUUGGCUGAAUGGUAUUAAAAUUGUAUUACAAAAAGAGCAAAAAGUUCCGUGUCUUUAUCAAGUAGUCAUGUUGGUUUAGAAAGUGGUCAAAUUCAAAAACAUGUGGGGUAAUUUGUUACAGUGUGUACCAAUGGUCCAAAAUAUCAGCAAAAUACACUUUAAAUUAACUGAUUUAUUUUUUCCUUCAUGAUCCUUCAGUCAUAAAAAUUCCCCCAAAAUGCUCCCUUUUGUUUAAAAUUUUGAUCUACUACUGAAUAAUAAAAAUAAUACUAAUAAAUUACAGUGCAAUGUAUAAGAAAUACCUGCAGGGCUUUUUCUGCCCGUCACACUCGACUCUUCGCUCUUCGCCAGCUCCCACAAACACUCGCCUCGGAGUUUGGUGGACGUUUUUGGCACAAUCGAAACUUCCAGUGAGGAUUUGGUCAAGUCGAAAAACCUUCGGCUCGCACAAAACGACACUUUACUGCCGCUCGGUUUGUGAAUUUGCCUUCGUUUUUAAAAAUUUUUAUUUACCAUCACUCCGGGGGCCAAACUUGAAUAUAUUACAAUAAUUCUGAUUAUUUCAACAUAAAUAAUGUUGCUGCUGGACUCAAAAACCCACCAGCAACGGCUCACUUCAUGACCACCCCCAGAUUAGUUUUAAUUUACAUAAAUGGGGGAGAGCUUCAGCCAGAGUCCAGAUGUCGAUUCCAUGGAAAUCAAUCAAUUCCUCCCAAAUGACCUCCUCACAAUCAGCUGACUUUCUCUGUACAAUAACUUUAGUGGCUUUAACCCUCAUGUCGUCCUGCGGGUCAAAAUUGACCCGUUUUAAAGUUUGAAGAUGUGGAAAAAAUAUAUUUUCACAGUGAAACAUCUGAUGUCCACAUUUUCAACAUUUUUGGGAAAUUUUUGAAAAUUUUUG
ensembl:lncRNA